rnacentral:lncRNA from 1 species
UGCCAUGUGGGGUAGGGUCCAGCUUUGAGCACACUUCUGACUCCUCUUUCCCUUUUCCAGAGGAAAAUCACUCUGCUGUCCAUGCCCUGGAACAAUUGGCUCCCAAAAGCAAAGCUUGUCUGUGAUGGGAUGCCAGCUCAUGGUGGAAUUUUCGUAUUUUGCUCCAUGAAGACAGAGAUGUGGAGAUGCAGAAACAUCAGUGACUAGCUGAAAGCCCCAUGAAUUCCCGAAACAAAAUCAAGCUACCAGAAUAAAAGGCCUUUGUCGUCAAAUCCUCA